GGGGAAUAUUGCGCAAUGGAGGAAACUCUGACGCAGCAACGCCGCGUGAAGGAUGAAGGCUUUCGGGUUGUAAACUUCUUUGAUCGGGGACGAAAAUGACGGUACCCGAGGAACAAGCCACGGCUAACUACGUGCCAGCAGCCGCGGUAAUACGUAGGUGGCAAGCGUUGUCCGGAAUUACUGGGUGUAAAGGGCGUGUAGGCGGGAAGGCAAGUCAGAUGUGAAAUCCCAGGGCUUAACUCUGGAGCUGCAUCUGAAACUGUUUUUCUUGAGUACUGGAGAGGAAAGUGGAAUUCCAAGUGUAGCGGUGAAAUGCGUAGAGAUUUGGAGGAACACCAGUGGCGAAGGCGGCUUUCUGGACAGUAACUGACGCUGAGGCGCGAAAGCGUGGGGAGCAAAC
rnacentral:rRNA from 1 species